rnacentral:rRNA from 1 species
GAUGAACGCUGGCGGCGUGCCUAAUACAUGCAAGUCGAGCGAACGGACGAGAAGCUUGCUUCUCUGAUGUUAGCGGCGGACGGGUGAGUAACACGUGGAUAACCUACCUAUAAGACUGGGAUAACUUCGGGAAACCGGAGCUAAUACUGGAUAAUAUUUUGAACCGCAUGGUUCAAAAGUUAAAGACGGUCUUGCUGUCACUUAUAGAUGGAUCCGCGCUGCAUUAGCUAGUUGGUAAGGUAACGGCUUACCAAGGCAACGAUGCAUAGCCGACCUGAGGGGGUGAUCGGCCACACUGGAACUGAGACACGGUCCAGACUCCUAAGGGAGGCAGCAGUAGGGAAUCUUCCGCAAUGGGCGGAAGCCUGACGGAGCAACGCCGCGUGAGUGAUGAAGGGCUUCGGAUCUUAAAACUCUGUUAUUAGGGAAGAACAUAUGUGUAAGUAACUGUGCACAUCUUGACGGUACCUAAUCAGAAAGCCACGGCUAACUACGUG